rnacentral:rRNA from 1 species
AUUGAACGCUGGCGGCAGGCCUAACACAUGCAAGUCGAAUGAGUGGCGGACGGGUGAGUAAUGUCUGGGAAACUGACCGAUGGAGGGGGAUAACUACUGGAAACGGUAGCUAAUACCGCAUACCAUAGGAUGUGCCCAGAUGGGAUUAGGUAGUAGGUGGGGUAACGGCUCACCUAAGCGACGAUCCCUAGCUGGUCUGAGAGGAUGACAAGCCAGCAUGGAACUGUAACAGCGUCCAGACUGCUGCGCGAGCGAGCAGUAGGGAAAAUUGCACAGUGGGCGCAGGCCUGACGCAGCCGUCCCGCGGGUAUCAAGAAGGGCUUCGAGUUGUAAGUUACUUUCAGCGAGGAGGCUUUACGCGCAGAAGAAGCACCGUCUAACUCAGUGCCAGCCGCCUCGGUGAUAC